UUUUUGGAUCCAUUGUGGAGGUUUGCCGGGUCCCAAUGAGGCAGACAAGUGGCAACGAAAGACACCCGACAUUUACCAAAUAUAAAUUUCCAGGUUCGGAGCAGUUGACACCUCAGUCGUCUCGGCUAUUCGGCCACGAAAGAUUUGAAAAAUAUUUCUUAGCCUAUGCGAACAGUUUAACCAACAUAAAGUAGUUAUUAUCAUACUGUCAAAUUUCAAGUAUUUCUGAAAUUUUGUUCAAGGUCGAACCUACAUUAUUCAUGUUAUUUUUUCAAUUUAGCCUAUUUUGUUGAACUGUUAUCAGAAGGGAGAAUUCAAAGGACGGCAAUCAAUUACGGUAUUAGUUUUGCAGGCAAAUUAAAUAAAAGGUUAUUAUUUCAUUCAUCUGUUUUCCAAAGAAAAUCCUUCCGCACUGUUUAAUAUCAAAAACUCAUAAAAGUUCGUACAGCAGAAUGCCAUUAGUUUAGUUAUUAUAUGAAUGUUUUUAAGAUUUGAAUUUUAAAUAUGUGUUUAAAGUUAAUAGAACAUAUAAAAAUUGCUGUUUUUAUACUUUUUAAAAUUUAGGAAGAAGUUGUUUUGCAAUGAGAUAGUAGUUGGACUCAAAUUUUAUUUUAAUAAAACUGGAAAUGAAGAAAUAAAAAAUAUCUCGGAAAUGUUGCUGCCGGUGAAUAAACAUUUCGGUGUCCUGUCGGAAAAGAAAAUCGUUUACUUCAUAGUUUCGAAGCAUUCUCGCCAGGUGUACCCGGAAAGAAGAAGGUUGCAUGAUGUGGGCAGUUGGAGAACGCUGGAAUGCAGCCCUUCCAACAUCCUUAAGAAACCGACCCUUAAAAGGGGAGAAGCCCGGAAUGUGGAAAGAACCUUUAUCCAUAAAUUACAUUUUUGAAUCUAUUGUUAACGUCGGGGGAGAAUUAUUUUUAGUGCAGUGUUAAAAAUGUUUUUAAAGAACUUUUUCAUCGAUUUCGACGUGUUUAGACAAUCGGAAAGUGUGCCUUUUUAGAAAUUGUAACGGUUUUUAAUAGAAAAAAUCCGGUGUUUUUCCUCUGUGGUUUCUUGUGUACUCUUCUGUCCACACGCGAAAUAUACUGUGAAUAAAACUGGUUUAUUUUGACUCUAGAUCGUCUUAUUUA